rnacentral:rRNA from 1 species
UGGAAAACGGGAGGCGCGAGCCGUUGACGACUUCAUUUGGGAGAUCGAGCAGUACUUUGAAGCUGUAGACAUCGUUGAUGAUGGCAAGAAAAUCAAGACGGUGACCUUAUACUUAAAGGAAACCGCGGCUCUAUGGUGGCGACGGAAGCACAUGGAGAUGGAAAAAGGUAUGUGCACCAUCAACACUUGGGCUGAUUUCAUAAAAGAGAUUAAAAAGCAAUUCUAUCCAGAAAAUGCCGAACAUGAUGCAAAGAUUCGGCUACGAAACCUUAGGCAAAAGGGUAGCAUCAAAGAUUAUAUCAAUGAAUUCACUACCCUUGUGCUUGAGAUUCCGGACUUGUCGCCCAAGGAUGCUCUCAUAUACUUUGUAGAUGGCUUGCAACAAUGGGCCAAAACCGAACUUGAACGACGAAAUGUUCAAGACUUAUCAUCAGCAAUCUCUGUUGCUGAAAACUUGCACGACCGUAACGAAAAUCGUUCGACAAGAUCAGCAACUACAGAGACUGGUGAUGCAAAAGGUGGGGGAGCAAAACCCACCAACCAAAAUCAAUACCGGAAGAAUGAUGACCGGGCAUUAACAUUAUAUAACAAAGGAAAAGCCGUAAACAAAGGCUGCUUCCUUUGCGAUGGGCCUCAUGAUGCACGAGACUGCCCAAAGAAAGCCAGACUAACGGCCCUUAUAAGGACCGGCGAUGAUGAACCUGAGGAAACCGAAGAGGUUCGCCUAGGCGCAAUGCAACUUCAAGUUCUCAAUGCAUUAACCCAACUAACGGGAAAACCCUUGGAGAUGGCAAAACAAACUAACCCGACAACCAUCGAGGGCAACACAAAGAGACAAGGUCUUCGCUUUGUGAGCAUAGAAAUAAAAGGAGAAACCCUUAAGGCGUUGGUGGACACCGGUGCAAGCCACAACAUUAUGUCACUAAGCGAAGCAAAAAGACUCGGCUUAAGGAUCACCCCACAAGAAGGUUGGAUUAAAGCCGCUGAUGGAGAUCCCAUACUGAUCGAGGGUACUGCAUGGGGCGUAAAGGCCAAGAUCGGGGAAUGGGCAGGCAAGUUACACUUCUCGAUUGUACCAAUCGACAACUACGACAUCAUACUCGGGUUGGAUUUCUUUGAGAAAGAAAAUGUCUUCCCAGCACCAUUUCUAAAUACACUUUACAUCCUCAAAGGAGAUAAAGUGUACGCCACACCUUUGGAGUCCAAUACAAGGAACCGAGGCAAAACGUUAUCCGCAAUACAACUCAUGAAAACACAUGAGGCAUUCAGGCAUCGCAACGAGGACGUUGCGAAUUUAGGUGGGGGAGGAUGUCACGCCCCGCAUAAAUUCAGCCCAAAAUUUCAACAUUCUAGACAUUUCCAGGGCCAUCUAGUCGCGUUUGGAGCUGCCCGGAAGGUUCCAGAACAGCCCGUAUUUUUCCAGCAACGUGGGGAUGCUAUGAGGACCAAAAUACAGCCAAGAAGGGUCUAGAAAACGCUGGAGAAAGCUGGUCAAAACAGCCAUAAAAAUCUGCCCGAAGAACUUUCUAGAAUCCAACAUAAUAUCAUGAUAUUUAGUAACAAAUAUCUUAGAUAUUUAGGCAUGAUAUUUUGUAAAGAAUAAUCUAGAACAAGAACAAUCUAGAUAGGCCCCAAUGUAGUAUAAAUAGCUGAUUUGGGGUCUCAUUUGAGACAUCCCCAAAUACUUGUAAACAUCUAGCACCCUUGUAAUCUCUCUUUGUUAAUACAAAGCUUUUAUCUUGUAUACUUGUGUUCAAGUAUUACAAGCAACCCACUUGCGAUCCAACGAUCCCUUUAGCAACUUCCAUAAUCAAAACCCAACGACACCAAGUCGGCAAGGCUUACUUAGACCGUGAUCUAAGGCCGCACGCGAGUUGAAAGACUAACUCCGUGACACUAUGGCCUUUUAGGCCACGGAAGUUUGAGGCAAUAACAGGUCUGUGAUGCCCUUAGAUGUUCUGGGCCGCACGCGCGCUACACUGAUGUAUUCAACGAGUAUAUAGCCUUGGCCGACAGGCCCGGGAAAUCUUUGAAAUUUCAUCGUGAUGGGGAUAGAUCAUUGCAAUUGUUGGUCUUAAACGAGGAAUUCCUAGUAAGCGCGAGUCAUCAGCUCGCGUUGACUACGUCCCUGCCCUUUGUACACACCGCCCGUCGCUCCUACCGAUUGAAUGGUCCGGUGAAGUGUUAGGAUCGUGGCGACGUGGGCGGUUCGCUGCCCGCGACGUCGCGAGAAUUCCACUGAACCUUAUCAUUUAGAGGAAGGAGAAGUCGUAACAAGGUUUCCGUAGGUGAACCUGCGGAAGGAUCAUUG